AUAGUCGUCUAGAUAAUGCUUAGCCAGCAGUCUUGUACCGAGUCUUGCGUGGUACACGGUAACGUGUACUGCGAAGCGUAGACAGGAAGAUGGCAGGCCGGAAUAAAGUGAAAAGGAUAAUUAGUCCCGAAAUUAAACGUGAUGUGGAGUAGCCGACCUUUUCUCUCAAUGGGGAAGGCAACAAUGAAAUAACCGCUAUAGGCAAGGGUAUUAUCGUUACUCCCGGGAUUCGUACC
rfam:Bacillus sp. OV166 genome assembly, contig: Ga0115450_11